UACGGAGGAUGCAAGCGUUAUCCGGAUUUAUUGGGUUUAAAGGGUGCGCAGGUUGUUUGAUAAGUCAGUGGUGAAAGCCUGCAGCUUAACUGCAGAACUGCCAUUGAUACUGAUAGUCUUGAGUUUGGUUAAGGUAGGCGGAAUGUGUAAUGUAGCGGUGAAAUGCUUAGAUAUUACACAGAACACCAAUUGCGUAGGCAGCUUACUGAGCCGACACUGACGCUGAGGCACGAAAGCGUGGGGAUCGAACA
rnacentral:rRNA from 1 species